rnacentral:rRNA from 1 species
GGAUUAGAUACCCUGGUAGUCCACGCCGUAAACGAUGCACACUGGGUGCCGGAUAUUCUGAUGUAUUCGGCGCCGUAGCAAAAGUGAUAAGUGUGCCGCCUGGGGAGUACGGCCGCAAGGCUAAAACUCAAAGGAAUUGACGGGGGCUCACACAAGCGGUGGAGCAUGUGGCUUAAUUCGAAACAACGCGAAGAACCUUACCCAGGCUUGACAUGCUUGGAUGCGCCCAGGGGAUAACCCAGGGUUGCUGCUCUUCGGAGUGAAACAAGUACAGGUGUUGCACGGCUGUCGUCAGCUCGUGCUG